rnacentral:rRNA from 1 species
UACGGCUCAGUAACACGUGGACAACCUAACCUAUGGAGGGGGAUAACCCCGGGAAACUGGGGAUAAUACCCCAUAGACUAUGGAUGCUGGAAUGCUCUGUAGUUGAAAGGUCCGCCGCCAUAGGAUGGGUCUGCGGCCGAUUAGGUUGUUGUUGGGGUAACGGCCCAACAAGCCUGUAAUCGGUACGGGUUGUGGGAGCAAGAGCCCGGAGAUGGAUUCUGAGACACGAAUCCAGGCCCUACGGGGCGCAGCAGGCGCGAAAACUUUACAAUGCGGGAAACCGUGAUAAGGGAACUCCGAGUGCCCGUAAAAUCGGGCUGUCCAUCUGUUUAAAUAACAGGCGAAGAAAGGGCCGGGCAAGACCGGUGCCAGCCGCCGCGGUAAUACCGGCGGCUCGAGUGGUGGCCACUAUUACUGGGCUUAAAGCGUUCGUAGCUGGUUUGUUAAGUCUCUGGGGAAAUCUGCCGGCUCAACCGGCAGGCGUUCCAGGGAUACUGGCAGACUAGGGACCGGGAGAGGUGAGGGGUACUCCAGGGGUAGGAGUGAAAUCCUGUAAUCCUUGGGGGACCACCUGUGGCGAAGGCGCCUCACCAGAACGGCUCCGACAGUGAGGGACGAAAGCUGGGGGAGCAAACCGGAUUAGAUACCCGGGUAGUCCCAGCCGUAAACGAUGCGCGUUAGGUGUAUCGGUGACCACGAGUCACCGAGGUGCCGAAGAGAAAUCGUGAAACGUGCCGCCUGGGAAGUACGGUCGCAAGGCUGAAACUUAAAGGAAUUGGCGGGGGAGCACCACAACAGGUGGAGCCUGCGGUUUAAUCGGACUCAACGCCGGAAAUCUCACCGGAUAAGACAGCUGGAUGAUAGUCGGGCUGAAGACUCUACUUGACUAGCUGAGAGGAGGUGCAUGGCCGUCGUCAGUUCGUACUGUGAAGCAUCUUGUUAAGUCAGGCAACGAGCGAGACCCCCGCCAA